CAGCCCCUCCAUAAGAACACAAGAGGAAAUCCAUCAGGGCGUUCCCUACGUCAAGCCUGACUGGCCUCAUUCGCUCAUACGCGCACUCAAGAUCCAAGUGCCUGUCAUGAAGCGCAGCUACCGAGACAACAAGCCCCGCUUUCACAAGCAUCGGCAGGGCAAAAUGCUCCUACCGCACAACCACCUCGCUGGAUUGUUCUUCACGGUGAACCCUCGCCAGGAGCCGCGCGCGCAGCGGGAGGCGCAGCUUUACCUGUCCACUCUCAUCUCCGACCUGGAGGCCGCGCAUGAGGCGUUCGUCAAACGCAGCCGCACAACCCCCAGCAGCGCGGACGACGACGCCGCCGGCCGCAGCAGCAACGACCAGGCCGACGUCACCGUUCCCCAGCCGUCCGCCUCGCUGUCCAGCCUUCUGGCGGCAGAGCUAGCGGCCUGUAGCGCGCACGACACCAACGGAAACAGGUUCAACACAACAAAACGGCCGCGAUCGGAGGACGAUGAGGCCGACGAGGACUCGCCAGCGGACGACGGUGCUGACAGCGAGCCAGGUAGCUGCUGCUGCCGCCGCCGCCGCCGUGACACGCCGCAUCGGCGCAGCGAAUGGUUCGCGCCACUGGAGACUGGCUGCAAAGGGUAUCUCUUCCUCAACGUCCCGACCGUGAAUGCCACCGUAACCUGCCCAACGUGCCACGCCGCCUCUAACCUCCCCGAGGCGGAAGGCGUAACGGCAGCGCCCGGGGCCGGUGGCGCAGCGCCGUCGACAACGGAGGCAGACGCGUUGCCGCCGCACACGAUUGUAGUGAACCCUCUUGUCUCCCGCAUCACUGAGCGCAUUUUCGAAGAUCUCGCCGCCAAUCCCCGGCCGAUCUUCCGCAACUGCUUCCGGCUAAUGCCGGCCGAACUGACGUGCUGUCCCACACUAGCGGAGAUGCAGACGGCGCUGCGCAAGCUGCUGUCCCUCCACUUCGCAGCAGAGACGGUCGACAGCACUGUUGCGGCAGAUGACGGGGUGGACUUUGCGCAGCGCAUUCUGCUGCCGUCCUGGGGUGCGGACCGGCCGCGCCGCUCGAUGCACACCAUUGCGCUACAGCUCACCGUCAAGAACAACACGAGCGUCGAGCAGAAGAAGGGCGCCAUUGCGUCCGCGCUCACGGCCGCGAUUCCCGCCAAUCGCUUCAUUGUUGUCGCGCAGCCGUCGCACAAGACGAAGUGCACGGUGGAGGCGACCGUCUGCAUUUUCGUGGCGCACGCAACAUGCGUCAUGGGCGUUCAGCGCCGUGUCACGGAGCGGCACAGCUUCAACCUGCACGCCGUCGGCGAGGACGCAUUUAUUUUAUCCAACGCAGUUCAAGUUUCCCCCAAGGCCGAGCAGCGCACCCUUCAGCAUGAGUAGUCAUCAUCUCGACGAGUAAAAAAUAUAUAUAAUCCGUUUUCAGCGUGGCGCUCUCUACCACAAGUCAUCACACACACCCAUGCAUACACGACGACAGCGCCCACCCACCUUCGCAGGGAUAAGGCUAAUAACGUGGCCUUCUGGGGCGAAUCGUCUGCCGCCGAACCGGGCCCUGCGCCCAACAGGCCUCCCACUGUCCUACCCCGCCCCUCCUCGGAUACGUGCCUCGCUGCCGGCGCGAGUCGGACUGCUUGGGCCGGCCGUGCCCAGAGCCCUGCGUGCGGGCGCAGGCGUCGGUUUCCGGCUGCGCGGGCCGGUGUAAGGGGGGGGGGGGUGGGGCGUCGCCUCCGCGCACCCCGGACGGGCGCGGGGGG
rnacentral:misc_RNA from 1 species